GGAACUACAAUUCCAGCGUCGCAGAAGAGUUCCGCCCUGCUGUAAGCUAUGUUUUCCAAAGACAAAAUGGGCAAAUGUCGCAGUUUUCCAGUAUAGUUUGCGCUCCUAGCUCUCAUUAUUUUUACGUUUUCAAUGGAGUAUGGCUUCGUUGACUGUCACUGUCAUAUAUCAGCCCGUGAGUUUGAAGAGGAUCUAGAGGAUGUGAUCCAAAGGACCAGGGAGGCUGGGGUAAAGACUUUGGUUGCAGUUACAGAAGAAGCCAGAGAGUUUGAUAGAGUUCUCCAGCUGCAGGAACGUUAUCCGGAUCUGGUGGCUCCAUGUUUCGGCAUCCAUCCGCUGCAGGGCGGCGAGGGCCCCACGCAGCGCAGCGUGAAGCCUCAGGAGCUGGAUGCUGCCCUUCCACAGUUCUUCAAACACAGGGAACGCCUCGUCGCUAUCGGAGAGAUUGGUUUAGACUUCACGCCGUGGUGUGCUCCCACUCAGCAAGACCGAGACGGCCAGAUGGAUGUCUUCAUUAAGCAGCUAAACAUCGCCAAGGAGCUUGACCUGCCUGUGAACGUCCACUCCCGAUCAGCUGCUAAGGUCGUCAUAGCGACCAUGAGAGAACAAGGUGGGUGUCCCGCUCUACUUUGUGCAUUUACACGGCUGCGAAACCCACGUUUUGGACGUGCCGUUGUUGUGAUUUGUCCGUCAGGUGUCAGUCGGGCUCUGCUUCAUAACUUUGCGGGGAAGCCGGCGGUAGCUCUGGAGGGUGUGAAGGCCGGAUUCCUCUUCUCCUUUCCCCCCGCUGUCUGCAGGAACCAACAGAGAGACAAACUGAUCAAGCAGAUCCCGCUGGAACACAUCUGUCUCGAAACUGACUCUCCUGCACUGGGGCUCGACAAGCAUGUGAGGAACGAGCCCUGUAACAUCGUUCUGUCCUGCCGGUACAUCGCUGACGUCAAAGGUCUGUCGUCGCAAACUGUUCAGCUCAUCACCGCACAAAAUGCACGCCGACUUUUUCCCAAAGUUGACGCUCACCUGCAGUACACAUGUUUCUGAAAUGCAAUGUUUGGCCUGAGGGUGGCGCCAGAGGCAACUUAAAGAAAGGAGUUAUCAAUUUAACAUUUCAUCACUAUAGGCUGUGCUUUGUUAGGGCGAUUUCACACCUGCUGGUCUUGGUACGCUUUCAAUCGAACUCUGGAGCGGUUUGUUUGUGGUGAGAACGUGAUCCGACCUUGCGCCGCGCCAACUAUAUUUAUACUCCAGUCUGAGCUCAUAUCUGCUGUAGUCAGGUGGACUUAGCAAUAUGCGAUGCUGCAGAGCAGCCAAACUGUAGAAGACAGCAGUUAAGCUCGGCGUCCGUCACUCGCAUUUCCGUGGUCGAACCAGCCGCCACUAAAGUUGGAGACAGACGACGGCAGAGCAGAGCGAAGUGUAAGUGACCAGAACGGAUGUAGCAACAUCGCUCACGAAACAAUUUCCGAUUAUUUAAAUGAAAUGAGCUGAUUUGACCUUUGAGUCAUAUUCCAGAACACAGGAAAUGACACGUUUUGGUACUGUAGGAAUAUUUUAUUAAGAGUAUGUGUGUAUAUGCUAGUUGCAACAGAGCUCUGUGCAGUCAAAUUGAGGAAGUGGUUAAAAGUACUCCGGAUGACCUUUUGCAUGCACAGAAGGUUAAGCUUAAGUCAUGAAAAUAGUGUAGGCCUUAUGGCUUACAAGUGCAUUUUUUAAAGAUUACGAGAACAAGAAGAGGAGGUUACAGUUACACCACAAAGAGGCCCCAACCCUGACAUGUGUGGUGUAUGAAGAUAGCAGUUUCUGCCUAGAGACAGAGGAGGACACCGCCCUGCAAGAAGAGGAUAAGAACACAGGGAUCGUGCAGAACGGGGCUCACAACUUGACAGAGACUUUGCUGACCUGAGCUCCGUACACUCGUGUUUGAAGCUAGGGAAACUUAGUGUCAUUUGUGAACCCACAUAUGUGUUGUAAACGUAACUGCUGGACUUAGUAAACUCUGCUUGACUUGAA